rnacentral:lncRNA from 1 species
AAAUAUAGGAACAAACCAAAAAAAAAAAAAAAGAACCUAAAAAGCAUAUGUAAUAUUUACCCAUAGUAUUGAAGUAUUAACUAAUUAAUCAUAACACUCAACACAAACCUAGUAAAACUUUUAGGUGAAAUGUCAAAAUUAUAAAUUGAAAAAGCUUAGUGAAUUGUAGGAACUAAUCAAGAAUCUAUAAAUCAUGUUUGAUAUCUAAACUGGAAGAUUG